UGCCCUCUCUUUCUCUCAAAAUCAAAUCAAAUCAAGUCAGAUAAAAAUAUAUAAAAGAUAGAAAGAUGAGUAGGUAGACAAAUUAGAUAGAGAUGGACAGAUAGAUAUGUCUGGAGUCUGGUAGGCCUUUUGGGGAUUGAGUGUAUCUCUUAUCCAAGAAAGGAUGAUUAUGUUAAAAAAAAAAAAAAAAAGCAGGGGGUGGCGGGGGUGAGUUGCUGUGUGAGAUAAUGUCUGCAAAGCACUUAGUACAGUACUUGCCCCCAGUGAAUAUUCUAUAAGUGCUAUUACUUACGAUUCUCUUUGGAAAGCGUUUGUAGCUAUGCUUUUUGUAUCUGCAACCCUAUAAAUUCUUAUUUAUCAUCCAAAACCUGACUCAGGCAUCCCUUUCUCCAGGACACAGACACACACAGAUACGCAGACACACACACACACACACACACACACACAACACACACCUUGUUAUCCCCAGAGUCGUGCUAGCCUGCCAUUUAAGUUGCACUGCCUGUUUGUGAUAGGUUGUCAUUGCUGUGCUUCUAGGUCUGUGGGCCUGGCUUUGAGCUCCCUGACAGCAGACGUUGCGUGUCUAGACAUCUCCUCCCCUCAUCCCAAGACAAUGCCUGGUACUUGAUGCGCAUUUAUUCCAUGGAACCGGUAUGUCACCACCAAUAGCCCUGCUCCUCCUUCUCCAAGGUGUAACUGCUGUUUCCUCCGGAGGUGGUCCCACAGCUCUGUCUGAUGCUUCUGGCACAGAACUUGUCACAUUCAUUGUGAUUACUUGUUCGUGUAAUGCACACGCAGAUAGGAUGUGCCUUCCUCUCCUCUACGUCACACAGAGACUCCCCCUCACCGUGCCUGGUGGUAGCAAUGAGUACUCUGCUCAUCCUUGUGACAUAAAUAAAAAGUGUCUCGAAUCUCCAUUCUACUUAUUCUCAGGAAGGCCUGUGGCUAGAAGUCUAGAGGAAAAUUGGAUUGAGUAUGUGAUUCAUCAGGGGUUGUUUCUAGUCCAUUCCUAGAACCUGAGCUCACUGGCUUCCCUCUCCUCUGAGGUCACAAUGCUGCUCCCUCAUCAUGAGCUUGAGUGCCCGGGGGAGCCCAGCCCCCGUCCCUGGGGUCUCUCUCACCCUUCCACCCCACCCAAGGAACAGUCAUGUCGCGGGCCCAUGACACCCAGCAGUAUUUGAAGUUUCUCUCAGUGAACAGAAUGUGUCUAAAAAUACCACAAGGAGUGUAUGGGACUCGGACCAGAUCAUUUGUCACCCGAUGUCUCUGGGAACAGGACACUGGUAACCCCCGUGGGGUUGGGACAUCCGUUCAGAGUGGUGUUGAAACUGGAUCGACUGUGUCGUCUUUCCAGGACCCAGGUUGGAGGGACAGCCUCUCUCUAAGGAGAUGCCACUCUUAUGACAGAGAAUAAAGUGCAAUGGGAGAGCUACAA